AACGCACAUUGCGCUUCCUGGCAUUCCGGGGAGCACGCCCGUUUCAGAAUCAUUCAAAAUCUCCCCCGUGCGCCUUCCGGGGCCGCCCGGUCGGGGAAGUUGGACGGUCUUCGUGGCUCGUUGUCGCGAACGUCUGAAAGCCAUGAUGCGAGCUCGUGCGGCCGUUGGCUGACCUCUCAAAGUGCAACAGAUGAGAAAUGACACAUCUCACCCACGAUGAUCGAGGCCACCGACGACGUCGUCGAGUCGCUCCUUCCACUCUGAAGCCUGGACCAACGGCGACGUUGGUCCCAGGGGUCAGGGAAAACCAACGCACAUGGUCUGAAAUCGGGCGGGAAGACCCGCUGAACUUAA
rnacentral:misc_RNA from 1 species